rnacentral:rRNA from 1 species
AGAGUUUGAUCCUGGCUCAGAGCGAACGCUGGCGGCAGGCCUAAUACAUGCAAGUCGAGCGCUCGUAGCAAUACGAGAGCGGCAGACGGGAGAGUAACACGUGGGAACGUACCUUUCGGUUCGGAACAACCCAGGGAAACUUGGGCUAAUGCCGGAUACGUCCGUAAGGAGAAAGAUUUAUCGCCGAAAGAUCGGCCCGCGUCUGAUUAGCUUGUUGGUGAGGUAACGGCUCACCAAGGCGACGAUCAGUAGCUGGUCUGAGAGGAUGAUCAGCCUCACUGGGACUGAGACACGGCCCAGACUCCUACGGGAGGCAGCAGUAGGGAAUAUUGGACAAUGGGCGCAAGCCUGAUCCAGCCGUGCCGCGUGAGUGAUGAAGGCCUUAGGGUUGUAAAGCUCUUUCGGCGGGGAAGAUAAUGACGGUACCCGCAGAAGAAGCCCCGGCUAACUUCGUGCCAGCAGCCGCGGUAAU